UUGUGAGCUCGAUGAGUAGGGCGGGACACGUGGUAUCCUGUCUGAAUAUGGGGGGACCAUCCUCCAAGGCUAAAUACUCCUGACUGACCGAUAGUGAACCAGUACCGUGAGGGAAAGGCGAAAAGAACCCCGGCGAGGGGAGUGAAAAAGAACCUGAAACCGUGUACGUACAAGCAGUGGGAGCCUCUUAAUGGGGUGACUGCGUACCUUUUGUAUAAUGGGUCAGCGACUUAUAUUCUGUAGCAAGGUUAACCGAAUAGGGGAGCCGAAGGGAAACCGAGUCUUAACUGGGCGUUAAGUUGCAGGGUAUAGACCCGAAACCCGGUGAUCUAGCCAUGGGCAGGUUGAAGGUUGGGUAACACUAACUGGAGGACCGAACCGACUAAUGUUGAAAAAUUAGCGGAUGACUUGUGGCUGGGGGUGAAAGGCCAAUCAAACCGGGAGAUAGCUGGUUCUCCCCGAAAGCUAUUUAGGUAGCGCCUCGUGAAUUCAUCUCCGGGGGUAGAGCACUGUUUCGGCAAGGGGGUCAUCCCGACUUACCAACCCGAUGCAAACUGCGAAUACCGGAGAAUGUUAUCACGGGAGACACACGGCGGGUGCUAACGUCCGUCGUGAAGAGGGAAACAACCCAGACCGCCAGCUAAGGUCCCAAAGUCAUGGUUAAGUGGGAAACGAUGUGGGAAGGCCCAGACAGCCAGGAUGUUGGCUUAGAAGCAGCCAUCAUUUAAAGAAAGCGUAAUAGCUCACUGGUCGAGUCGGCCUGCGCGGAAGAUGUAACGGGGCUAAACCAUGCACCGAAGCUGCGGCAGCGACACUAUGUGUUGUUGGGUAGGGGAGCG
rnacentral:rRNA from 1 species